rnacentral:rRNA from 1 species
CCUACGGGAGGCAGCAGUAGGGAAUAUUGCUCAAUGGGGGAAACCCUGAAGCAGCAACGCCGCGUGGAGGAUGAAGGUUUUCGGAUUGUAAACUCCUUUUGUUAGAGAAGAUAAUGACGGUAUCUAACGAAUAAGCACCGGCUAAAUCCGUGCCAGCAGCCGCUGUAAUACGGAGGGUGCCAGCGUUACUCGGAAUCACUGGGCGUAAAGGGCGCGUAGGCUGGAUAGCAAGUCAGAUGUGAAAUCCUAUGGCUUAACCAUAGAACUGCAUUUGAAACUGUUAUUCUAGAGUAUGGGAGAGGUAGGUGGAAUUCUUGGUGUAGGGGUAAAAUCCGUAGAGAUCAAGAGGAAUACUCAUUGCGAAGGCGACCUGCUAGAACAUAACUGACGCUGAUGCGCGAAAGCGUGGGGAGCAAACAGGAUUAGAUACCCGUGUAGUC